rnacentral:rRNA from 1 species
GACGAACGCUGGCGGCGUGCUUAACACAUGCAAGUCGAACGGAAAGGCCCUGCUUGCAGGGUACUCGAGUGGCGAACGGGUGAGUAACACGUGGGUGAUCUGCCCUGCACUUCGGGAUAAGCCUGGGAAACUGGGUCUAAUACCGGAUAGGAGCCAUUUUUAGUGUGAUGGUUGGAAAGUUUUUUCGGUGUAGGAUGAGCUCGCGGCCUAUCAGCUUGUUGGUGGGGUAAUGGCCUACCAAGGCGGCGACGGGUAGCCGGCCUGAGAGGGUGGACGGCCACAUUGGGACUGAGAGACGGCCCAGACUCCUACGGGAGGCAGAAGUGGGGAAUAUUGCACAAUGGGCGCAAGCCUGAUGCAGCGACGCCGCGUGGGGGAGGACGGCCUUCGGGUUGUAAACUCCUUUCGCUAGGGACGAAGCUUUUUGUGACGGUACCUAGAUAAGAAGCACCGGCUAACUACGUG